GAUGGGAUCAAUAGAUUGGAGCAAAAGAAAAAAAUGUAAAUUUUUGGGUUGGCCUGGGAUCGCUAGGCUCUCGUGACGUGGAAGAACGCAGCAAGGUGCGAAAAGGACGCCAGCACGCAGCGUGUGGCAGUAUUUGUUUGAACGCAAAAUGUAUUUAUACAAUAUGCACGCGAUUUUUGAAGCUAAGCCAGCUUCCAAAGGCCGAGUAUGCAUAUUGGGAUGACCCGCCGAACUUAAGCAUAUCAGUAAGCGGAGGAGAGGAAACCAACAGGGACUCUGCCAGUAACUGCGAGUGAACGCAGACGAGCUAUAUGAUAAUCCACACGGAAUUGUAAAAAACAAAACAAAAGUUGCUCUGGAACGGCACACCACGGUUGGUGACAGUCCAAUGAAACAUUGUUGCUGGAGUAGGGCUGCAUGGUAGCGCAGUCUGAAGACGGGUGGUGCAGGACAUCCAAGGCUAAGUACAGACGAGAGACCGAUAGAGCACAAGUACCGUGAGGGAAAGCUGAAAAGGACUUUGGAAAGAGAGUCAAAAGACGUGAAAGGGCAGACACACAGAGCUAUCUGACCCGUCUUGAAACACGGACCAAGGAGAUAUAUUCUAAAGGGCAGGAGAGCAAAUCUCGGGAUUUGGAAUAUAGACCCGAAAGACAGUGAGCUAUGUCUGGGGAGGGUGAAGCCGGGGGAAACCCCGGUGGAGGCCCGAAGCGGUGCUGACGUGCAAAUCGCUCGCGACAUCUGGAUAUAGGGGCGAAAGACCAAUCGAACUGUCUGGUAGCUGGUUCCGUC
rnacentral:misc_RNA from 1 species